GAUGAACGCUGGCUACAGGCUUAACACAUGCAAGUCGAGGGGAAACGACGGGGAAGCUUGCUUCCCCGGGCGUCGACCGGCGCACGGGUGAGUAACGCGUAUCCAACCUGCCUCUGACUGAGGGAUAACCCGUCGAAAGUCGGCCUAAUACCUCAUGGCAUCGUCUGCGGGCAUCCAACGACGAUUAAAGAUUUCAUCGGUCAGAGAUGGGGAUGCGUCUGAUUAGCUUGUUGGCGGGGUAACGGCCCACCAAGGCGACGAUCAGUAGGGGUUCUGAGAGGAAGGUCCCCCACAUUGGAACUGAGACACGGUCCAAACUCCUACGGGAGGCAGCAGUGAGGAAUAUGGGUCAAUGGGCGAGAGCCUGAACCAGCCAAGUAGCGUGCAGGAUGACGGCCCUAUGGGUUGUAAACUGCUUUUAGGCGGGGAUAAAGUGAGGGACGUGUCCUUCAUUGCAGGUACCGCAUGAAUAAGGACCGGCUAAUUCCGUG
rnacentral:rRNA from 1 species